rnacentral:rRNA from 1 species
UACGUAGGGUGCGAGCGUUAAUCGGAAUUACUGGGCGUAAAGCGUGCGCAGGCGGUUUUGUAAGCCAGAUGUGAAAUCCCCGGGCUUAACCUGGGAAUGGCAUUUGGGACUGCAAGGCUUGAGUGCGGCAGAGGAGACUGGAAUUCCUGGUGUAGUGGUGAAAUGCGUAGAGAUCAGGAGGAACACCGGUGGCGAAGGCGGCCCACUGGGCAGUCACUGACGCUGAGGCGCGAAAGCUCGGGGAGCGAACGGG